CCAACUUUAGAGCAAUUCAAAUGAGGUACAGCCCAUUUGAUACAGGAUACAACCUUAACUACCGGGUAACACCCAACCUGCAAAUUCAAGUAGGCCUAAAAGCAGCCAUCUUCUAAAAAGCGUCAAAGCUUAAUUACGCUUACACCAAUCUUAAACCCCAUAUAAACCCCUUUAAUUGUAUUGAGAAUCUCUAUAUUGUAUAGAGCCUUUUAUGCUAAAACUAGUAACAAGAGAUCACCCUCUCCUAAAUGUAAACAUAAGCCAGCAAGAAUCCAUCACUGGCAACUAACAGACCUAGAAUAAAGUAGCACCCUCACUAGAAAACUCUAUUUCCUCUACUGUUAACCUAACACCAGAACAUUUCAAGAAAGAUCAAAAAAAAAUGAAGGAACUCGGCAAAUGCUAGUCCCGCCUGUUUACCAAAAACAUCGCCUCUUGUCACCCAUAAGAGGUCAAGCCUGCCCAGUGACCCCGUUCAACGGCCGCGGUAUCCUAACCGUGCGAAGGUAGCGUAAUCACUUGUCUUCUAAAUAAAGACCAGUAUGAAAGGCAUCACGAGGACAAGACUGUCUCCUUUUUUCAAUCAGUGAACCUAAUCUCCCCGUGAAGAAGCGGGAAUUAACAUAUAAUGUUGGAUCAGGGUAUCCCAGUGGUGCAGCCGCUACUAAAGGUUCGUUUGUUCAACGAUUUAAACCCCACGUGAUCUGAGUUCAGACCGGAGUAAUCCAGGUCAGUUUCUAUCUAUAAGAGCGCUCUUUUUAGUACGAAAGGAACAAAAUAGCACGGCCAAUGCCCCUGCAAGCCGUAAUUACCCAUCUUAGACCACCACUCAAAAGAUAAUCAACCUUCUUUUUACCUCAAGAAAA
rnacentral:rRNA from 1 species